rnacentral:rRNA from 1 species
GACGUAGGGCGCGAGCGUUGUCCGGAUUUAUUGGGCGUAAAGAGCUCGUAGGCGGCUUGUCGCGUCGUUCGUGAAAACCCGGGGCUCAACUCCGGGCUUGCGGGCGAUACGGGCAGGCUAGAGUUCGGUAGGGGAGACUGGAAUUCCUGGUGUAGCGGUGAAAUGCGCAGAUAUCAGGAGGAACACCGGUGGCGAAGGCGGGUCUCUGGGCCGAUACUGACGCUGAGGAGCGAAAGCCAGGGGAGCAAACGGG